CCAGCAGCCGCGGUAAUUCCAGCUCCAAUAGCGUAUAUUAAAGUUGUUGCGUUUAAAAAGCUCGUAGUUGGAACUUUUGGGCUUGCAGCCGGUCCACCUAACAGUGCGUACUGGUUGUGGGCUCAACACUUUUUGGGCGCCAGCGUGUUCUUUACUGAGUGCGUUGGAUGUCCAAGACUUUUACUUUGAAAAAAUUAGAGUGUUCAAAGCAGGCUAGCGCUUGAAUACAUUAGCAUGGAAUAAUAGAAUAGGACCAUGGUUCUAUUUUGUUGGUUUGAAGGACCAAGGUAAUGAUUAAUAGGGACAGUUGGGGGUAUUAGUAUUUCAGGGCUAGAGGUGAAAUU
rnacentral:rRNA from 1 species